rnacentral:rRNA from 1 species
UGGGGAAUCUUGGACAAUGGGGGCAACCCUGAUCCAGCCAUGCCGCGUGUGUGAAGAAGGCCCUAGGGUUGUAAAGCACUUUCAGUGGGGGAGGAAAAGCUGCCGGUUAAUACCCGGUAGCCGUGACGUUACCCACAGAAGAAGCACCGGCUAACUCCGUGCCAGCAGCCGCGGUAAUACGUAGGGUGCAAGCGUUGUCCGGAAUUAUUGGGCGUAAAGAGCUCGUAGGCGGUCCGUUGCGUCUGCCGUGAAAACCCGGAGCUCAACUCCGGGCCUGCGGUGGAUACGGGCGGACUAGAGUCCGGUAGGGGAGACUGGAAUUCCUGGUGUAGCGGUGGAAUGCGCAGAUGAUCAGGAGGAACACCGGUGGCGAAGGCGGGUCUCUGGGCCGGAACUGACGCUGAGGUGCGAAAGUGUGGGGA